rnacentral:rRNA from 1 species
AGAGUUUGAUCCUGGCUCAGGACGAACGCUGGCGGCGUGCCUAACACAUGCAAGUCGAACGGAGAUAUGAUUUCGGUUGUAUCUUAGUGGCGAACGGGUGAGUAACGCGUGAGCAACCUGACUCUUAGAGGGGGAUAACACUCGGAAACGAGUGCUAAUACCGCAUAAGACCACGACAUGGCAUCAUGACGAGGUCAAAGGAGCAAUCCGCUGAGAGAGGGGCUCGCGUCCCAUUAGAUAGAUGGCGGGGUAACGGCCCACCAUGUCAACGAUGGGUAGCCGAGCUGAGAGGCUGAUCGGCCACACUGGAACUGAGACACGGUCCAGACUCCUACGGGAGGCAGCAGUGGGGAAUUUUCGGCAAUGGGCGCAAGCCUGACGCAGCAACGCCGCGUGAGCGAUGAAGGCCUUUGGGUCGUAAAGCUCUGUCCUUGGGGAAGAAAAAAAUGACGGUACCCGAGGAGGAAGCCCCGGCUAACUACGUGCCAGCAGCCGCGGUAAUACGUAGGGGGCGAGCGUUGUCCGGAAUUACUGGGCGUAAAGGGUGCGUAGGCGGUUUAUUAAGUUGGAUGUGAAAUACCCGGGCUUAACUUGGGAGGUGCAUCCAAAACUGGUAGACUAGAGUACAGGAGAGGGAAGUGGAAUUCCUAGUGUAGCGGUGAAAUGCGUAGAUAUUAGGAGGAACACCAGUGGCGAAGGCGACUUCCUGGCUUGUAACUGACACUGAGGCGCGAAAGCGUGGGGAUCAAACAGGAUUAGAUACCCUGGUAGUCCACGCCGUAAACGAUGAGUGCUAGGUGUCGGGGGUAUCGACCCCCUCGGUGCCACAGCUAACGCAAUAAGCACUCCGCCUGGGGAGUACGGUCGCAAGACUGAAACUCAAAGGAAUUGACGGGGGCCCGCACAAGCGGUGGAGCAUGUGGUUUAAUUCGACGCAACGCGAAGAACCUUACCUGGGCUCGAACGUAUAGGGAAUUAUGCCGAAAGGUAUAAGCCAGCAAUGGCCGUAUACGAGGUGCUGCAUGGUUGUCGUCAGCUCGUGCCGUGAGGUGUUAGGUUAAGUCCUGCAACGAGCGCAACCCUUACCUUUAGUUGCCAGCAUGUAAUGAUGGGGACUCUAAAGGAACUGCCUACGCAAGUAGUGAGGAAGGUGGGGAUGACGUCAAAUCAGCACGGCCCUUAUGUCCAGGGCGACACACGUGCUACAAUGGCCUGAACAGAGGGAAGCGAAGCCGCGAGGUGAAGCCAAUCCGAGAA